GACAGCAGCAGCCGCGGGAAUACGGAGGGUGCAAGCGUUAUCCGGAUUCACUGGGUUUAAAGGGUGCGUAGGCGGAUCUGUAAGUCAGUGGUGAAAUCUCCAGGUUUAACCUGGAAACUGCCGUUGAUACUAUAGGUCUUGAAUUUUGUGGAGGUUAGCGGAAUAUGUCAUGUAGCGGUGAAAUGCAUAGAUAUGACAUAGAACACCAAUUGCGAAGGCAGCUGGCUACACAACUAUUGACGCUGAGGCACGAAAGCGUGGGGAUCAAACAGGAUUAGAUACCCCCGUAGUCCCUGUCUCUUAUAC
rnacentral:rRNA from 1 species